rnacentral:rRNA from 1 species
AUGUGCGCCCUUGGCAUUAACAACCGUGGGCAGUCAAUCCAGUUUGGUUGUGGAUUUGUUCGAAACGAACUAUCUGGUAACUUUGUGUGGCUGUUUAAUGCAUUCCUGCAUGCAAUGGGUGGAGUUGCACUAAAGAACAUAAUAACAUAUCAAGAUUUUGGAAUGAGGAGUGCUAUUGAUGAGAUGUUUAUCGGGAUAGUACACAGGAAUUGCCACUGGCAUAUAAUAAAAAAGGCCCAGGAGAAGCUUGGGAAGCUGAUGGCUGACGAUGAGCGACUAAACAAUGCAUUCAAGGAUUGUGUUGACAACAACUUGACUGUUGAAGAGUUUGAACACAAAUGGUGGGUGAUGAUGGAAACAUAUGGCCAGACCGACAACAAGCAUUUCCAUUGGUUUUCGUAG